rnacentral:rRNA from 1 species
UUGACCUCGGAUCAGGUAGGGAUACCCGCUGAACUUAAGCAUAUCAAAAGCCCGGAAGGAAAAGGAUCAUUAUCCGAAAUGCAGCGGGGGGGCAGACGGCCGCAAGGUCGCCGGCCACCG